CCUAAGGUAGCGAAAUUCCUUGUCGGGUAAGUUCCGACCUGCACGAAUGGCGUAAUGAUGGCCAGGCUGUCUCCACCCGAGACUCAGUGAAAUUGAACUCGCUGUGAAGAUGCAGUGUACCCGCGGCAAGACGGAAAGACCCCGUGAACCUUUACUAUAGCUUGACACUGAACACUGGUCCUUGAUGUGUAGGAUAGGUGGGAGGCUUUGAAGCGUGGACGCCAGUCUGCGUGGAGCCAACCUUGAAAUACCACCCUUUAAUGGCUGGUGUUCUAACGUAGACCCGUAAUCCGGGUUGCGGACAGUGUCUGGUGGGUAGUUUGACUGGGGCGGUCUCCUCCCAAAGAGUAACGGAGGAGCACGAAGGUUGGCUAAUCCUGGUCGGACAUCAGGAGGUUAGUGCAAUGGCAUAAGCCAGCUUGACUGCGAGCGUGACGGCGCGAGCAGGUGCGAAAGCAGGUCAUAGUGAUCCGGUGGUUCUGAAUGGAAGGGCCAUCGCUCAACGGAUAAAAGGUACUCCGGGGAUAACAGGCUGAUACCGCCCAAGAGUUCAUAUCGACGGCGGUGUUUGGCACCUCGAUGUCGGCUCAUCACAUCCUGGGGCUGAAGUAGGUCCCAAGGGUAUGGCUGUUCGCCAUUUAAAGUGGUACGCGAGCUGGGUUUAGAACGUCGUGAGACAGUUCGGUCCCUAUCUGCCGUGGGCGCUGGAGAAUUGAGGGGGGCUGCUCCUAGUACGAGAGGACCGGAGUGGACGCAUCACUGGUGUUCGGGUUGUCAUGCCAAUGGCACUGCCCGGUAGCUAAAUGCGGAAGAGAUAAGUGCUGAAAGCAUCUAAGCACGAAACUUGCCCCGAGAUGAGUUCUCCCUGAGACUUUAAGUCUCCUGAAGGAACGUUAAAGACUAUGACGUUGAUAGGUCGGGUGUGUAAGCGCAGCGAUGCGUUGAGCUAACCGAUACUAAUGAACCGUGAGGCUUAACCUU
rnacentral:rRNA from 1 species